CGGCCACAUUGGGACUGAGACACGGCCCAAACUCCUACGGGAGGCAGCAGUGGGGAAUCUUCCGCAAUGGACGAAAGUCUGACGGAGCAACGCCGCGUGAGUGAUGAAGGUUUUCGGAUCGUAAAGCUCUGUUGUUAGGGAAGAACAAGUACCGUUCGAAUAGGGCGGUACCUUGACGGUACCUAACCAGAAAGCCACGGCUAACUACGUGCCAGCAGCCGCGGUAAUACGUAGGUGGCAAGCGUUAUCCGGAAUUAUUGGGCGUAAAGAGUGAGCAGGCGGUUUUUUAAGUCUGAAGUCAAAUCCUGUGGCUCAACCACAGUUCGCUUUGGAAACUGAAGAACUAGAGUGCGGGAGAGGUAAGCGGAAUUCCAUAUGUAGCGGUGAAAUGCACAGAUAUAUGGAGGAACACCGGUGGCGAAGGCGGCUUACCAGCCCGAUACUGACGCUCAGUCACGAAAGCGUGGGGAGCAAAUAGGCUUAGAUACCCUAGUAGUCCACGCCGUAAACGUUGAGGACCUGAUGCCGGAGUAUUUCGGUGUCGUAGCUAACGCGUUAAGUCCUCCGCCUGGGUACUACGUUCGCAAGAAUAAAACUUAAAGGAAUUGACGGGGGCCCGCACAAGCAGUGGAGCAUGUGGUUUAAUUCGUCGCUACGCGAAAAACCUUACCAGGGUUUGACAUCCCGCUAAAAGUCUUGGAAACAAGAUCAUAGUUAUAGCGGUGAAAGGUGGUGCAUGGUUGUCGUCAGCUCGUGUCGUGAGAUGUUGGGUUAAGUCCCCUAACGAGCGCAACCCUUGUCUCUAUUUGCCAUCAUUAAGUUGGGAACUAUAGAGAGACUGCCGGUGCAAACCGGAGGAAGAUGGGGAUGACGUCAAAUCAUCAUGCCCCUUAUGCCCUGGGCCACACACGUGCUACAAUGGCCGGUACAGAGAGAAGCAAUCCCGUGAGGAGGAGCAAAUCUCACAAAGCCGGUCUCAGUUCGGAUUGGAGUCUGCAACUCGACUCCAUGAAGCUGGAAUUGCUAGUAAUCGCAGAUCAGCAUUGCUGCGGUGAAUACGUUCCCGGGCCUUGUACACACUGCCCGUCACACCAUGAGAGUCGGCAAUACUCGAAGUCGUUAUCUUAACCCGCAAGGGAGGGAGGCGCCUAAGGUAGGGCUGAUGAUU
rnacentral:rRNA from 1 species